UUUUUAACCCUAUGUAUUUACUAUCUCUACCUUUUCAUGCACAAAACAAAUCCUUUAAAAUCUCCAUUCUCUAACAAAAAGAAACCCUAGAAAAUCAUCUUUUCGUGCUCCUCUUUCGUCAAUAAAUUUGCAGAAUAACGUUGUAUCAAAGAUAAGUUUGUUAGUGUUUUUCAUUUAAUUUCUCUAGUUCAUUCUAUUGCAUUUUAGUUAGUUUAUGCAACAUGCGUAAUUUGUGUUUUUCGUUCCUUACUUUGUCUGUGGUCGGUUCUUAUUAAUUUCUUCAGGUAUCGUGUUGUGAAGUUUACAGGUUGGUUAAAAGGUAUUUUUUUUUUUUUUAGCUUUUUUCUAUAAAUUUGAAUUUUUUCUAUAAUUUUUACUUAGCUUUUCUAUGAAAAUUGUUAUCUUGUUCAUGUUUUAAAGUUUUUGUACCUUUUUCACUUCUCUUGGAACACAAAUCGUAGUAGUGUAUCUUGUUAAAUUUUCAGGAUGAAAAUUUUGGAAGUUAUGUAUUGUAUUUUCAGGGGUCUAAGUUUGUGUGUUUAGAUUUUUUAUUUUUUAUUUUUUUUUUCAAAUUUAAAAUUCUUGAAUCUAUGGACAAUACAUUCUUUUGGCCUCCUAUUGGUUGGGUUUUGAGAACAAAUUAGAUUGGAUGAACUGAUUUGGUUUUGGAAUUAAGUUCUAUGAUUCAAUUGCUAUAAGAAAGAAAGUUGAGCCUUUGAAGAAAAUUUGAAGUUUCAAUUCAUGUAGUUUUGUGGAUCUUUAUUUUGAAUUUAAUAGAUUUUCCUCCUCUAGCCAGACACUGUGCCUUUAGAUAUAUGAAGUUUGGUCAUCAGUUGCUAAAUUUUUGGAAAAUCUAGCGUGUUAGCUAACCUUGAACUAAUUCAAUGAUUAAAAGCUCUGGUAAACACAACUUGAAGUUUUGGUAUUGUCAAUUUAGUGAAGUUUGUGUGUUUAGUAAGAGUAUUUUUAUACUUUUAUUUUUUUGUCUUCUUUUAACUUUUAAAUCGUUCAAUCUAUGGUCGAUAUGUUCCUUUUCAUUUUCAUAGAAGUUAGUUUUACCAGUUCAAUUUUACAUUUCUUGAUUAAUUUUUUGCAAUAUCUAAAUGAUAUCUGGCUUUAGGAUUUAUAUUUUUUCGUUCUCUACUGUUAGCAGGUAUGAAUGUACUUAUUUUUUUUAGCAAAUAAGUUACUUUCUUUCUUAAAAUAGAAAUUGUAUCACUGCAUUUUCUAGAAAUUUUCAUUUUGAAAUUUUCAAAGUCAUGUGUACUUUUCUUAGGGGUUUUAGUGUUAGUUUUGAAAUUUUACUUCUGUUUUAUUUCAAAUUUAAAAUUAUUCAAUGUAUGGUUGAUAUGUUGCCUUUAAUUUUUGUCUAAGUUAGAUUUAUUAUUUCCAUUUCACAUUUGUUCAUUGAUGUUGUUACGUGUUGUCAUACUUGGACAACCUACUUGGGCCUAUAGCCCACUCAAUCCGAACCACGUGGCACUCUAGCCGAGGUGGCAUGUAUGGCCAAGGCCCUUCAUGUCGAUGCCCAUAUACCAAGACCUGUGAAAGUAGCCAAACUCCAUAUACCAAGGCCUUCGAAGAUAGCUGAAACCCUGAAGCGAAAGUACUACGUAAGUAGCGAAAGUACUACGAACCAUGAAGGAACGUCUUCCAUGAUCAUCUCUCCCAAGAGAUCUUCUACAUAAAAAUCUUGUUUGAAUGAUUGAUGGAACGUUUACCAUAAGUACAUAUGUCAAGUCUUAUCACUAGCAUGGGGAUUCUGCACAAGCAAUAAAUGCGCAGGAGCUAGUAAGUCAAGGAUGAUGCCUAGGAUUGGAUGUUUGAAUUAAGGAGAUGAGGCCACGUGCCACCUCAUCUAAGGGCUGCCAUUUCACAUAUAACACUAUAAAUACUUCCCUUGUAUAACAUUGAAGGGCUAAUGCAAGAAUCAAGACAAGAAACCACAUUGAAGGGCUAAUUUGUUGAUGGGUUGGCUGGGGACGUCGGCUCAGGUGCUGGAGUUGUCCUCAUCAGCCUUGAAGGUCACAAGCUAAACUCAGCGGUGAGGUUCGGGUUCAAGGCCACCAAAAAUGUAGCAGAAUACGAGGCACUACUUGUAGGCCUCAGGCUGGCCAAGGAAAUGCAAGUAAAGAGGCUCUUUAUCAGCAGUGAUUCCUAGCUGGUUGUUAGCCAAGUAAAUGGUAACUUCUCAGUCAAGGACAAAACGAUGGCCUCCUACUUGAAAAUGGUGAUGAACCUCAUCCCAUCCUUUGAAAAGUUUGAACUAACCUAGAUCCCUCGCAUGGAAAAUUCUCAUGCGGAUGCACUCUCCAAGCUCACUAGUAGUAGGGAUUCAGAACUACUCACAGUAAUACCUAUAGAGCAUCUCCUCCUGCCAUCCACCGAGGCCCCUAAUGUAAUGUGGGUCUUUGGAACUCCUACCUGGAUGUAGCCAAUCGUAGCAUACCCUAAAGACCAGGUACUUUCCACUGACAAGCAUGAGGCCUACAAGCUAAGGAGGAGCUCAGCCCACUUCCUCUUCAUUGAUGAUGUUCUCUAUAAGAGGAGCUUCUCCUCCCCACUCUUACGAUGUGUUGAGGGAGAAGAGGCUACUUACAUAUUGAGAGAAGUCUAUGAGGGCGUGUGCGACAAUCACUCCGGAGGUCUAUCUUUAGCACAAAAGAUAUUGAGGCAAGGGUACAACUAGCCUUCCCUAAAAAGGGACACCCUCGAGUUUGUACGAAAGUGUGACAAAUGUCAACGAUUCUCUUUGAUACAAAGCAAUCGUCGCAGGAUUUGACCGCGGUCUCCAACCCUUAGCCUUUCUCGAAAUGGGGUGUGGACCUCAUAGGUCCUCUACUUAAAGAUAGAGGAGCUGCAAGCUUUGCAAUUGUGGCCAUUGAUUACUUCACGAAAUGGGUUGAGGUUGACCCACUGACAAAAAUCACAGAAACCAACACUUCCAAGUUCUUGUGGAAGAAUAUUAUAUGUCAGUUCGGGAUUCCCUACUCAAUCGUCUCAAACAAUGGUAGACAAUUCGACAACAAGAAAGUCAGAGCACUAUGCGAAGAACUCGACAUCAAUAAACAUUUUUCCACGCCUUACCACUCACAAGCAAAUGGCCAAGUUGAGGCUGUCAACAAAACAAUCAAACACGUUCUGAAAAUGAAGCUUGAUGUGUCAAAAGGGGCCUGGGUGGACGAGCUACCACUAGUUCUUUGGGCGAUCCAAACCACCAUGAGGACGCCAACCGGGGAAACACCUUUCCUCAUGGCAUAUGGUACUGAGGUGAUGAGCCCCGUUGAGGUCAGACUUUCGUCUCCAAGACGUCUGCAUUUUAGUGAAAUCACAAAUGAUGAGCUUCGGAGGUUUAACCUCGACUUCAUCGAAGAGAGAAGAGAUGACUCCCAGUUGAAGCUCGCCACAAACCAAAGAAAGAUGAUGAAGUACUUCUGCUCAAAGGUAAAGAAGAGAUCAUUCCGAAUCAACGAUUUGGUCCUUAGGAGGGUUUUCCUCUCCUCAAAGGAACCUGGUUCUGGUUCCCUAGGUCCCAACUGGGAAGGGCCAUAUAAAAUCAGAGAAAAAACUCGGCCUAGGACUUACUGGAUUGAGGACAUGGAUGGCAAGGCCCAACCCCGUCCAUGGAACAUCGAGCACAUCAGAAUCUAUUACCAAUGAAUGUACUACCUCGCUCGACGAUCUUUCCCAGCUCUUGUAACAUUUCUAAGGUUCAAUAAAAUUCUAUGAUUAAAUUAACAUAUUGUAUUAUUUCUUCACCUCGGAGGAGAGGCAAGCAUCCCAUCUCUGGGCCACGUCGUUUGAACUCCGAGGCGCAUGCACAUGCCUCCCUUUGGUGAGGCUGAACGCCAAGGGGAGAGGCCUCAACAUGGUUGCACGAUCCACCAUGUUGGGAAGCGUCGUCACCUCGGAGGAGAGGCCGGGGUACCAUCUCUGGGCCACCUUGUUUGAACUCCGAGGCUCAUGCACAUGCCUCCCUUUGGCGAGGCUGAACGCCAAGGGGAAGCGUCGUCGCCUCGGAGGAGAGGCUGGGGGUCCCAUCUCUGGGCUACCUCAUUUGAACUCCGAAGUGCAUGCACAUGCCUCCAUUUAGCAAGACUGAAUGCCAAGGGAAAAAGCCUCAACAUGGCUGCACCAUCCACCAUGUUGGGAAGCGUCGUCACUUCGGAGAAGAGGCCGAGGUCCCAUCUCUGGGCCACCUCAUUUGAACUCUGAGGCGCAUGCACAUGUCUCCCUUUUGCGAGGUUGAACGCCAGGGGGAGAAACCUCAACAUGGCUGCACCAUCCACCAUGUUAGGAAGCAUCGUCAUCUCGGAGGAGAAACCGGGGUCCCAUCUCUGGGCCACCUCGUUUGAACUCCAAGGUGCAUGCACAUACCUCCUUUUGGCAAGGCUAAAUGGCAAGGGGAGAAGCCUCAACAUGGCUGCACUAUCCACCAUGUUGGGAAGUAUCGUCACCUCAGAGUAGAGGCCAGGGUCCCAUCUCUAGGCCACCUCGUUUGAACUUCGAGGCGCAUGCACUUAUAUCAGAGUAAAACUCCCAGUUCAACUGCAACACGGUCCAUUUUUAGGAUCCCUUCAGGUUACAAUUAUUAAGCUCAAGUACAAUUCAUUUGCUUAAGUCCCAUAUUGGUCAUAACUCGUGAGGCUUGCAUACAAUUUAUUCGUUCAAGUGAUUGGAGUUAGGAUACCCAGUUAAAGUUAUUUAGUUCUUCAAUCAACAUUAUGUUCAAUUAUUUAACGAGGCCAACAAACUUGAGAGAAAGAAACAACAUUGAAUAAAAAGGAGAUAUUAUAUUGAUUUUCAAUUGAGAUUGCAAAAGGAGGGCUUGAGACCAGUACAUCAUGCAUAACUGAAAAGAUAACUAUCCUAAGCCUGGGAAGAUGGUGGAGGAGCCUUAGCAGCUGGAACUUCCGCAGCUUGAGCAUCAGAAUUUACUUCUUCUGCCUCUGCUACUUCAUCUCCCACCACUUCAUCAGCUAGGGUUUGAGGCACUUCGUCCACAAACUUCGACCUGAGUUGCGACAGAUCCUAAUUGGGAUACAAGUCCUCAGCCCGCUCCAUCACUUUGGCAUAAGCAAAGUUCCUCUAGUAAGUGCUAAAGCUCUUGUACUCCUCGGUAUUGUGGAAGUUGGCAAUGUAGUCUCUCACUGCCUCCUUCCUUGCACUUUAGGCUUCCUCCCUAGCAUGGGUUGCAUCAUUGACAUGCCACUUAAUUUGGUCCUCAAUGAACUUGUAUGCAUCCUGGGCCCCUGCCAGCUCCCUGUUACCCUUCUCCAAGGCUUCGGCUGUCACCUUCUAGUGGUCAUUGGAAACCUCCACCUUCAUAGUCAAGGAGGCAACCUCGCACUGGGACUCAUGUACCUCCCUCUUCAAUGCCUCUAUCUGAGCUAAGGCAGACUUCAGCUUGACAGAUUCUUCAAGUUUUUGGGCCCUGGCUUCUUCAGCCUCAGCCCUAGCUGCGUUCAACUCCUCUGCAAGGGAUGCAGCCUUCCUUUCAAAGGACUGGGUCCUUGUCUGAAAGUCAGUGAGAGCCUUCCUACACUCCAGUGUGAGGCCAAAGAUCCUAACACUUUGGCUCACAAGAGCCCUCGUCAAGUCCGUGGCAUCACUGGCGGAGGCAUGCGGCUACCACCGAUCCAUCUAGAAUUUAUAAAAACUUUCAGCAGUGGUUCGGAUUUCAGGUGGCAAGGCCUCUACCAAAGCUGGGGCCAGAGGCUCCUCCCUGCCAGAAAGGAAGCUCGGAGACUUGCCUUGUACUCGAACAGGUUUCUCUUUCGCAGCCUUCUCCUCAGCCACCUCAGCUUGCCUCCUUGCAGCCUUCUCCCUCACCUCAUCAACCUCUGUACGCCUGACCAUUUCAAUCUUAAUUGCUUUCGAGGCGACUUUCAGUAGCUUUAGCGGUCUGGCUUCUUUUCCUUGGGACACAUAACUCCCAAAUUUUCCAAACGAGCUAGAGAUGUGCACCAGCUUCCUCUUCUUUGGCUCCUCAGGGACUUUCUCCUUUCCCUGAGGCUCUUCAGCCUUUUCUAGCCUUUGGGAGGUCUCAUCUUCGAAAGCCCAUGAGGUGCUGUCCUUGGAGAGACGUUCAACUCUACCUAGGACUUCCUUCGCACCACUUGACCCCGGCUUUAGGGGCCUCGCCUUCACAGUGGAAGUUGCCCUCAGUAUGGACGCCAUGUCAGAAGCUGGGUACUCCUUCCUCUUAAACUUAUCUGCAGAACACAGCAUGUCAGUACCAAAAUGAAAACACAAAAAUAUACAAGUAUGGGAGCUUCAUACCCCUGGAGGCCAUCAGUUCGAAGUUGAGGAAAUAGCGACUUUUGUCGAUGAGGUGAUCGAAGUGGCGAAACUUCAGAGGUCUCUUGUAAAUGAACUCCUCCCUACUCAGCUCGAACCUCGUACUGCUAUCUGCAAAUGAGGCCUCAACAGUUAGAGAAAAAUUAAAGUUGAAAACAGAAUGCAAACUACUUAGUCUGGGAGACUCACAAGUUUCGUAGUACUGGGUCAGUACUAUGCAAGAUAGGGCUUUGUCUCCCUCCACCGCUUGCCACCUGCCCCUCACCCAGAGCUACGACUCCUUCCACCCUUUUAUGGAAGAAGGUAGCCCCACCACAAAAGGUGCAUGGGCCCCCCAGGGAGUCAAGUAAUACCACCCCUUCGACUCCUUACCUAUUACCCUAAGCUGGAAUAGGGUCAUGAAGACGUGGAGAGGCAUGUCCUCCCUAAGCGACACUUCCUUCGACAGGAAGUACGAGCCGACCAACUGGCUCCACCCAUUUGGUAGAACCUGGGUCGGUGACAACAUGAAAUUCCUCAUCACAGCCCCGAAGAAGGGGUGCAGAGGAAGAUGUAUACCUGCUUUAAACAAGUAUUCGCUCACCGCCACGCGCCCAGGCCUCGGAUAAUAGGCUUGCUCAUGGGCUUCGGGCACUAACAUCUCCACAUAAUGAGGUACACAGUACCUCUCCCUUAUCUCCCCCAACCUUUUCGACGUCAUAUUCGAAGGGACUCUAGAUGCCCCCCACUCUACAUUGUAAUCCACUUCCUCCUCGGUCAUAGCAAUUUGCUCAACCUCGGAGUCCUCCCUGUAACUAGACCCCCGACCAAACGACGUGACAGUGACCAACUCCCUACCCGAAGUCGACUCCAUCUCAGAAAGCAACUAAGAACACAAUAAAAGGAGGAUUUUUUGUGAAAAAUACCUACUGAAAAACUACGCGAACGGAGUGGGCCGAAAAAGCAGUAGACGGAAUUGCCUCAAUGCCGGAAUGUCUAAACUCUAAGAGGAGAAAACAGAUUGCAAAAGCUGGAAAAUGGAGUUUUCUCGCCUUUUAUAAAGGAUCCAGACGAACCCCCACCAUCAGAUCGAAGCUCAUUCAAUCUAAACCCUUCAGUUUAAAUCAAAUUCGAGGCGUAGAAUUUAAACAAAUUUUUUUAAACCUACGCCUCAGAUUUAAGCGUGUCUCCCACGCACCUCAUCCAAUGUGUCUGCUUCUAGAAGCUCCAGUUGCUCUAAUAAUUAUGAUUUUAAUUUGACGGCGGUAGGCACCUUGGAAGUCGCAACGGUUCAAGCACCUUUCCUCGAAAACAUGCGCAAAACAUCAAAUCAUUGGCACAACUGCCAAGGAACAAUUAUUUUCAACCACCUCGGCUUCUUCUUCAACAUUCAGCCAUCAAGCCUCGUAGGUUCGGUUUCCCAACUAUCUCGGCUUCUUCUUCAACAUUCAGCCAUCAAGCCUCGUAGGUUCGAUUUGCCAACUACCUCGGCUUCUUCUUCAAUAUUCCGCCAUCAAACCUCGCAGGUUCGAUUUUCCAACCACCUCGGCUUCAUCUUCAAUUUUAGCUUUCACAAGCCUCACACAUUCAGUUCAUUCCACCACCUCGGCUUCUUCAUCAUUAACCCACAACAGAACAUUUCUAACUCCAACCAUGAUAUAAAUAUCUAUACUUGGACUUGGGGAACUAUUAUUUGGGGUUCAAAAAAUUCUUUCAAUUUUUACCCAACCCACUGGCUUUACUUCAUUAAAGUCCGCGCAUUACAUAAAUGACUAUACUUGGACUUGGGGGACUAUUGUUACGUGUUUUCAUACUUGGCCAACCUACUUGGGCCUCUACUCAAUCCGAACCAUGUGGCACUCCAGUCGAGGUGGCAUGUAUGGCCGAGGCCCUUCAUGCCGAUGCCCAUAUAUCGAGACCUAUGAAAGUAGCCAAACUCCAUAUAUAAAGGCCUUCGAAGAUAGCCGAAGCCCUGAAGCAGAAGUACUACGUGAGUGGCAGAAGCCUCCGAAUCAUGAAGGAACGUCUUUCAUGAUCACCUCUCCCAAGAGAUCUUCUACAUAAAAAAUCUUGUUUGAAUGAUUGAUGGAACGUUUAUCAUAAGUACAUAUGUCAAGUCUUAUCACUAGCAUGGGGCUUCUGCACAAGCAAUAAAUGCGUAGCGAGCUAGCGAUUCAAGGAUGAUGCCUAGGAUUGGAUAUUUGAAUUAAGGAGAUGAGGCCACGUGCCAUCUCAUCUAAAGGCUUCCAUUUCACACGUAACACUAUAAAUAUUGUAUAACAUUGAAGAGCUAAUGCAAGAAUCAAGACAAGAAACCACACUUUACUAUCUCUUUUUCAUAUUAUCUUACAACACUAUACGAGUUCAUACACAUUUACAUACACAUUCAUGAGCACCGAUUGGUAAUUAUUGUACAAUCGAAUUAAAAAUAUCCCGUCGAAUUCCGAACGUUCUCGUCCCACGUCGUUGAACUACUCCCACGCCCCUGAUUCGUUCGUUCUAGACCAUCCACGUGUCUUAGCGUGUAGGAUCUUCACUCACGUGUGCGCGGGUGGGUUCGACAUCUAUUGGUAACACUUUUUGGAGUCAACAGAUGUUCUACGAGGUGUAAACUAUGUCUGUCAUUGAUUUCUUUUUUUUUCUUUUUCUUUUUUUGUUAAUUGGUAGCGGGUAUUUUGUGCUCUUCUCUUAGCUCACAUUAUUUUUAAGAUUUAUUUUACAUAUUUGGGAGUUUCCGUUGAAAUAGUUUUUCUUGCUGCUCAUAUCGUUACGCCCCUAUCUAAACCACCUCGAAAUGCUCGCCACCACACAUUCCGACUUGAUAUACACCCAUCCAAAGUGUUUCCAAAGUGAUCGCACCAAUGUCAACGACCUGAUAGCACACUGAGAGACAUAGACGAUCCUGCUGAACUGACCGAAGCGCCCUCGCCCCUGAUGCCGAGGUGAAGUGCACCUUUGUCAGAAGAUCCGUAUCCAUUUUCAAAAAGAGAUUUUUACCAAGAUCCUCUGUGCAUCUAAGGUUUAAAUUGAUUUGACGUCUCUAUGAGGCUAGUUGAUUUGACUUAUCGACUUUAUGUCAACUCAACUCAGGAGAAACAAACUGCCUGCCCACUCUACAGACGCGACUAAUUGACGCCUAUGAGCGGACGCCUCUUACCGUCAAAUGCAUACACGAGUCCCACAUCCAACGGUUCAUCCCACCUAUAAAUACCCAAGGUUUGGCAAGAGGUAAAGGUAAUGAAACUCUUACUACAUAGCACUCUAUAGCAAGUUUACAUAUUUUCUCCUCCCCCUAUUAUUAUUUUGCACAACCUCUGGGUACUGUUCCGACCACCUAAACCUGACUUGACCGUCAAAGUGUAUACGGUCGUCACUACCCCUGUUGGUCAAUGUCGUGUGCAUCUGACCGUGCGUUGAUUGUGCGCAGGGAGGAAUACGUGGAGUAGCUAUCGGUUGGCCACGUGGAAGGUCCAAUUUUCGAGGUCAACAGAUUGUCGUCGUCUAUGGAAAACACUUCCCAUUGAAAGUUCUGCAUUCUCCACCGAAGAAAUCACUAGAAAACUUGCGACUAACCCCGAAAAGGACAAGUUCUUGAAAAAGAACAAAGUCGAGUUAUAAUCCAAGUUCUCACCACCCUUGAAAAAGGAGAUAGGAUGAGUUAUAGCAAUGAAGAAGACAACCCCAUGAGAGAGGCCUCUGAAGAAGAGGUGCUCCAUAACAAUGUCACUCACCAGAGACCCCAUUACCGAUGUCGUCGAGGCGCGAGAACGGCUAUGCUCAUUGAAGGUAUAGCUCAAAUAGGGGUGGGCAUGAGGGACAUCGUAGCUCAGAAUCUGGCGAUGCAUGAACUUCUCAUGCAAGCCCAAGGUCAUCAGGGCUGUCAAAUGUCCCAAGGAUCUUAUCCGGUGCAGGAAGCCCCUGUAUCUCACUCUCAAGGCCAUAUAAGCCAGCACACAGAACGCCCCCUUGAAAGAGAGAUGGACAUCGAAGCCACAUCUUAUGUACAAGGGAACCAGCCAUCAAAACCACACUUGGGGAAUAAUUUCCCUCAAGAUCAUGAGGAACAGAGGUCGGUAAGCAUCUUCGACCGGAUAGGGAAGGGUCCUAGCAAUAGGGUCCGCCUAGUAAAAGGAUCAAUUCGUCCACAUCAUGAACAAGAACAGACUCCCCCUCCUCCUAGAAAUAGGAGAGACAUGAGGAACCUAAUAGAUUGGGGGAGCCGAGGAGAAGCUCUCCCCCUCCCUAGAAUAUUCAAGAUGAUGAAGGGUCAGAUGGACCCUAUCGAUCUUAUGAGAUUGACGAUGAUGAUGAUAACCUCCCUUCUCAAGGGAGAUCCGAAGCUUCCUAAUGCCAGCAAAUUUCAUGCCCCCUAAGAUCCCCAAGUAUGAAGAAAAGGGGGACCCAGAGAAGUACCUCACCAAGUACAUGACACAGAUGAGCCUAAGGGGAGCCUCACCCGCUUUGAAAUGCAAAGCUUUCCAUUUAACACUAGGCGGAGCCACUGAAGUGUGGUAUAGCAGGCUUCCUCCCCUAAGCAUUAGAAGUUGGCCAGAUCUGAAGAAAGCGUUCUUGAACCAAUACCUCUCACACAGAGAAGGAGAGGCACCAGUGCAAUGCCUGCAAUAUAUGAGGCAAGCCCCUGGGGAGACGCUGAAAAGCUAUCUCGCCAGGUUUACAGACGAAAUCACCUACUGUGAACAGUCACUGACAGAGAAACCCUUUCAACCCUGAAAGGCGGGCACAACAUGAACACUUUAUUCUGGAGGGACGUGCGCAGCAAGAAUCCCUCCACUUAUGACGAAUUGGUGGAAAUGAUGAGAAUGGAAAUUGUGAGUGAAGAAAUGAUUGAUCAUCACAACAGUGCCGCACAGGGACUCCCUCCGCCUCAGAGGCAGGUAGGUCGAGGACCCGCAGCACACCUUGUUACUCAGCAAUGGACUUAAGUAGGUCAUACAAUAGCUCCCACCUUUGGACAGGCGUUGGCUUCGGCCAUAUUGAAUGCAGUGUCAGUGUUGGCAUAUGAGAAUACUCCUGUCGAAGCGGGACCAUCCGGAAGAGCUGAUAAUAAGAAGAAGAUGAAGAAGAAAAGGUCAAACAAACCCUUGGAGGGGGCAAGGUUUUGUACGUUCCAUCAACUGUAUGGACAUGAUAUUAGUGAAUGCCGAGACGCCAAUCGACGUCCUGAUUGAAGCAACCCACACCAUUCCAACAGGAACGAAUAUCCUCGUAGAUCCGCCUCCCCGAGCAGGGAAGAGAGAGGGCACAGAGAGCAAUCACCUUGGAGAAGAGAAUCAAGGGACCGAGGUCAAUCUAGACAGAGAAACUAGGCCCAAUUUUCUGGGAGCCAGGUCAUUAGGGAAAUCGAUAACAUCAUUGGGGGACCCCACGUCGGUGGCAAUGCCAGGAAUACCCAAAGAAAUUACACAAGGGAAGCAAAGGACCCGCCAAUGAUCACUUACAUUGUCAACAAGUCGCAAGCAGCCGAUAGGAUGGCCCCAAUCACCUUCUCUCGGGAAGACGCAAAGGGGGUUCACCCCCCAUUGCGAUGCUUUGGUUGUAAGAGCCGUAGUGGCUAGAAAUGAACUAAAACGCAUGCUCGUCGACAAUAGCAGUUCUGCAUAUUGUUCGGCUCCACUUUUGACAAAAUGCAAAUUGAACAUGGGUUGAUUCCCAUGACCGACCCACUAUUUAGAUUCACUGGGGACAGCAUCAUCCCACGAGGGCGGAUCACUCUACCCGUAGAGAAGGGGUCGGCACCCCUAGUGGCCCAACACUUCAUGGAAUUUUUGGUGGUAGAUCACAGAUCAGCUUAUCAUGGAGUAUUGGACAGACCCGCUUUGAAAGAUCUUUGGGCUAUUACAUCCUAUCCACUACUUGUGCAUGAAAUUUCCAACUGAACAUGGGAUUGCUAUGGUUCGAGGCAAUCAGAUGGGCUCCAGGGCAUGCUACUUAAACUCGCUGUGAAAGUUCGAGCCCCGAACUAUUAAUGUAAUCCUAACUGAGGUUCCCACUGAAAUCAGUACGGACGUUGAAAUGCUCGACGUUCCUGAACAAGGGCAUACCUCUGAACAAGAGGAAGAUGUCGACAUGGAAGAGGCCCCUGAACAAGGGCACCCUUUUGAUGAGUUAGAUCCCUGAAUAAUUGACUCUGAACCAAAUACGACACCAAUGGAAGAAUUGGAGACUUUCCCUGCCAACCCAGAAGACCCCAGUCAGGUCUUGCGUAUAGGAAAGUCAUUGUCCCCUGAAGCAAAAGUAGAGAUGAUAAGCUUCCUGAAAAGGAACUUGGAUGUCUUCACAUGAAAGCAUGAAGAUAUGGUGGGAAUAGAUCCUAGGAUCAGUUGCCAUCACCUUAACAUCAAUCCCUCCUGUGCCCCCCAUAGACAGAAGAGGCGUGCCCACAAUUCGAAAAGGUACGAGUCAUUGAAAGACGAAGUGAACAAACUUAGCCGUAGUGGUUUCAUAAGGAAAGCCAUCUACCCGAAGUGGAUAUCCAACCUAGUCCUGGUGAAAAAGCCCAGCGGAAAGUGGAGGGUAUGCGUAGACUUCACAAACUUAAAUAAGGCGUGCCCUAAAGACAGCUUCCCACUUCCAAGAAUAGAUCAACUUGUGGAUUCUAUUGCUGGACAUGAACUACUGAGCGUCAUGGAUGUAUACUCAGGGUAUAACCAGAUACCCAUGUUCCAACUUGAUGAGGAAGCUACAUCGUUCAUUAUGGACAGAGGUCUAUAUUGCUACAAAGUCAUGCCCUUCGAAUUGAAGAAUGCCGGAGCUACAUAUCAGAGAUUGGUCAACAUGAUGUUUGUCGAACUCAUUGACAAAACCAUGGAGGUCUACGUGGAUGACAUGCUAGUCAAAAGCCUCCAGGCAGCCGAACAUAUAAGUCACCUCGACCAAACUUUUCAGAUACUUAGAAAGUAUAAUAUGAAAUUGAAUCCCCUCAAGUGCACCUUUGGAGUGGCAUCGGGUCAGUUCUUGGGUAUAUUGUCAAUCAAAGAGGAAUUGAAGCAAAUCCAGUGAAAAUAAUGGCCUUGCUAGAGAUGAGGUCACCUCAAAAACCAAAGGAGGUCCAAAGCCUCAAUGUCCGAAUAGCCGCACUUAGUCGCUUCAUCUCCAAGGCCACAAAUGAAAGCUCACCUUUCUUCAAUGUGCUAAAAUAAGGAAAGAAAUUCCAAUGGACUUCAAAAUGUGAAGAAGCCUUCCAGGUGCUGAAAAAGCACCUCGGAAAGGUGUCCCUGUAGUCAAAACCUCAACCGGAUGAGUCAUUACUGCUGUACUUAGCAGCUUAGGACGUGGCGAUCAGUGUCUUCCUAGUCAGAGAAGAAAUUGAGUGCCAGUUGCCAGUGUAUUACAUCAGCAAAGCAUUCUCCCAGCUAAAACACGCUACCAAGACAUGGAGAAACUGGCGCUCGCCCUUAUCACAGCCUCAAGAAAACUGAGGCCGUACUUCCAGGCCCACUCAAUUCUAGUUCUCACCAACUUCCCACUGAAGCAAGUGAUGUAGAAAACAGACGCAUCAGGACGCCUGCUAAAAUGGGCAAUCGAUCUUAGUGAGUUCGAUCUAACGUUCCAACCUCGACAUGCUAUCAAGGGUCAGGCCCUUGCUGAUUUUAUGAUUGAGUUUGCUAAAGCCCCAGAAAUGGAGGCGAUAAUGGAACCAGCUGAGCCCCCCACAUGGAAACUAUUCGUACAUGGGUCCUCAGGAGAGACUGGCUCAAGGGCAGGGAUCGUAUUGGAAAGCUCGGAAGGACACAGGCUAAAUUGUGUAAGGUUUGGCUUCAAAGCCUCGAACAACGCUGUUGAAUAUGAGGCCCUUCUGGCAGGUCUUGGACUUGCUAAGGAGAUGCGGGUCAGAAGGCUCCUGGCGAGCAGUGACUCUCAACUUAUAGUGAACCAGGUCAAUGGAAACUUUGCAGCUAAAGAUGGUAGCAUGAUUGCGUACUUAAAGUUGGUUCUAGACCUAGUUCAUCAUUUUGAAAGGUUCGAACUGACUCAAGUCCCCCGUCUAGAGAAUGUACAUGCAGACGCCCUUUCAAAAUUGGCCAACAGCAAGGAUUUAGAGCUGCUAAAUGUUGUCCAUAUUGAGCACUUAUCAAAGCCCUCCACCUCCGGAGGUGAAGAGAUACUAUGGAUAGAAGGCACCCCAUUGUGGAUGCAGCCUAUCAUCACCUACCUGAAGGAUCAAACACUGCCUACUUCUAGAAGCGAGGCUAGGAAGUUAAGAAAAAGGGCUGCAUAUUUCAUCCUGUAAGAAGAUACUCUUUACAAGAGAGGCUUCACCUCGCCACUUCUUCGAUGUGUGGGAGGUGAAGAGGCCACAUUCAUACUCAGGGAAAUCCAUGAGGAAAUCUACGGAAAUCACUCCAGAGGAAUGGCUCUGGCACACAAGGUUCUCCAUCAAGGCUACUUCUGGCCGACCCUGAAAAGGGAUGCUUGCCAAUUUGUCCGGAAAUAUGACAAAUGCCAGCGCUUCUCGAACAUACAAAGACAGCCUGCUCAGAGCCUCUCCGUAGUAACCAGCCCUUGGCCAUUCGCCAAGUGGGGCAUUAACUUCAUUGGUCCACUCCCAAAAGGAAGAGGAAGUGCAACUUUCGCCGUUGUCGCCAUUGACUACUUCACUAAGUGGGUCGAUGCAAAACCCCUUGCUAGGAUCACCGAGGCGAAUACUACCAAAUUCUUCUGGAAGAACAUCAUUUGUAGGUUCGGCAUUCCCACUCCUUAGUGUCUGACAAUGGAAGGCAGUUCGACAACAGGAAGAUGCGAGACUUAUGCGACGAACUAGGCAUAAAGAAGGACUUUUCAACAUCUCAGCACCCCCAAGGAAAUGGGAAAGUUGAAGCAGUGAACAAGACUAUCAAGCACACCCUGAAAAGGAAGCUUGACACCUUAAAGGGGGCUUGGGUUGACGAACUCCCCCACGUCCUCUGGGCUAUCAGAACUUCUAGCCGAACUGCAACAGGUGAAACACCAUUUUUCGUGACCUACGGAGCCGAGGCCAUGAGCCAGGUCGAGGUCGAGGUCCCAUCACACCAACGAAUACACUUCAAUGAGAUCAGCAAUGACGAAGCUCGAAUAAGCAAACUGUACCUCCUUUAGGAAAGGAGGGAUGACUCCCAAGUGAACUUGGCAAAGUACCAUCGAAAGAUGACCCGAUAUUAUAACUCCAAGGUUAGAAAUAGAACUCUUCGCCUGGGUGAACUCGUCCUUAGAAAGGUCUUCCAAUCUUCAAAAUCGACCAAGUCAGGAGUGUUUGGACCAAACUGGGAGGGCCCUUACCACAUCUGCAGGGAAUCCCGACCUGGUACCUUCGAAAUUGAAGACAUGGCAGGAAAGGCACUACCUCAUCAGUGGAACAUCGAACACUUGAGAAAGUACUAUCAAUGAUGAGCCUUUGUCCCGAUCCAUUCUCAAUAUUGUCUAAUGAAUCGAUUGUUCUGAUAUGAUUUUAGUUGUAAAUUCCCUAGCUUACUAAGUGCUGGAAUUGCCUUGGUAAAGUGUGGUGUAAUUUAUCUCAAGUGAUGAAACUUCGGUUCUGUGCCACAUCGGUUAAUAAAUAGUUUCCUCAGUCCUUCAAUAUGUUUACUUAAGUGAUCCGAUCUUCAAUUAUUAACUGAUUAACAUUAAGAGGCUCUUCAUGUUUGCUUAAGUGACCCACUUCAUAUUAACUUAAGUGGUCCGAUCUCAAAUUGUUAACUGAUUAAUGUUAAGAGUCGCUUCAUGUUCGCUUAAGUGAUUCAACUUAUAUUAACUUGAGUGGUCCGAUCCUCAAUUAUUAACUGGUUAUUGUUACAAGGCGCUUAGUCUGAUGUUUGUCAUUCAUGCAAGUAUAAACAGAUCCAAAAGGAAAGAGAGCAGAAGCACAAACACUUAGCAAAAAAUUUCAUUUCAUUUAAUGAGAAUUGAAGUACAAGAAGGCUGAAGCCAUUACAAAAGAUGGCCCUAUUCUAGUGGAGGGACUUUUACAUCGGCCGCCUUCGGGGCCUCCGGAGCUUCAUCAGCAGGCCUAUCAGGCCGAACUCCAGUUGGUCCCCCAAACUCUGCCUCCAAAGAGGAGAUAUCCAGAGUGGGGUGGACCUCUUUCAGUCGACCCAAUUAGCCUUGGGCACUCCAAGAGGCCCAAAAAUUUGCGAAGUCGUCAUACAAGGGAUGGUCUUUGAAAUGGUCGUUGAAGUUCUGAACUGCCAUCUCCCCUGCAGACUUCAACUCAUCCUUCAAGGAGGCAAUCUCCUCAGACUGAGCCUCUACCUUCUGUCUCAGCUCCACCUUUUUUUUGUUUGAGGCCUCCAGAGCCUCGGUGGUGAGCUUGUGGUGCUCGUUGGCGUGAUUAACUCGUCGAGUCAUAGCAGCCACCUGGCACUCCACCUCAUAUAGCUCCUUCUUCAGCCGCUCCACUUUUGCUUUGGCGGCAGUUAGCUGUGCCUCGGCCUCCUUCUUUCCUUCCUCCGCUUACGUGGCCUUGGCCUGGGCCUCUCGCACGGCAUCCCUAUAGUGCAUUGCCUCCUCGAGGUGCUUGGCGAGGUCCUCCCUCCUGGAGUUCAAAUCCUUUACCAGGCCCUCGAGUUGGAUGCUUGUACUUAGGGCCCGAGCCACGUAGGCGUUGUUGGCAGCCACCAAUUCUUCAGCUGUGCAGUAGGCGGUGUGGUCCCUCCACUCCUCGGUCUAGUAUUUGUUGUGGACCACCACCACUGUAGCUGUUUCUGGAGGAAGGGCCUCCAACACUUCCCUCACCAGCUCCUCCAGAUUUGUGCCCAGAAAGUCAACCUCCUUAGAGGGACAGGGCCUCUUCCUCUUCUACUGCCCCGGCACUUGAGCGACUGGCACGAAAGCAAGUGGUGUUGUGGCUGGGGCAGUUGCAGCCUCAAAUGGCACAGGCCUCUUCUCUGGAAUAGCCAUCCCAGUUGGAAUUGUGGUUUGCUUCAGAACGGGGGCUGGCCUCGCCACAGUUGGGCGUUUUGGAGGGGGCGGCGCUCUUAUUGCCUUUCCUCCGGUACCUCCUCCUCCGUCAGAGGCUGAAGCCUCUUACUGGCGUCUACCAGAUCCUCCAUUUGCUUCUUGUAGGAGGAGGAGGAGGCCUUAAGUGCCCGUGCCUUUGCCAUCAUCCUCUGAAUGGUCUUAAAGUCGGGGCGCACGGGCAUCUUCUUAUUAAAAUUUUCUGCAAGGAACGAAUGACGAAUUAGUAAAGUGUUGAGAGUUCAGAAUAAAAGGUAAAGGCUUCAAUCUAGUCACCUUGGGAUGCCAUCAAGUCGUGUGUAACGAAGUGAAUGUUCUUUCGAAUCAGCCUAUGGUAUGACCUCUUCUUUUGAGGCAGCUGAUAAAUGAUGUAGAUGGUUUCGAAGUCUUCAGAUGACAGCUCGCACCGAGGAAGAGCACCUAUAAAAGAAAUGCAAAUAUUAGGCGCGGUUCGAACCGAAGAGAAAUAUAAAGAAAUGUAGCUACUAUACUCACUAAGUGUUGAGUACUUCGUCGGGACUGUAAGAGGCACCAGGGGGUCCCCCUCCAUUGUGUCCCAUCGCCCAGCGGCCUAGCACCACUAGCUUUUCCAUUCUUUGAUAGAGCUCGACAGAUCGAGCACGAAUGGAGUGUGGGAACCCCAUGAAGUAAGGUAGUACCACCCCCAGGUCUUACCUCCCCUGACAGUUACCUUAUGUAUGUAAAGGGUUUGGAAGACGGAGAGAGGCAUCUCCACCCCUAAUGACGCCUAUUUCCACAACAUUCAGGAGCCCACCAUUUAGCUCCAGGAGUUCGGAUUGAGUUGUGUCGGGGCUAGCCCAUAGGAUCUAAGCACCAUCCUAAAGAAUGGGUGAAUUAGCAACCUAAGUCCGACCUUAAGGAUCGCCUUACUAAUGGCCACACAACCCAGCCUAGGGUAGCAGGCCUCUCUUCGGGUUCAGGAAGGAUCAGAUCUAUGCUAUCCGAGAUCCUAUACUCUACCCUAAGUCUCUCCAAGUUGGCCUUCCUUAGUUUAGAUGAGUAGCUCAAUGCCCCCAGUGCACAGAAGUGUCUGCUGGGCUAUCCGGUCGCUUCCAUAUAUUUUCCCCCUAUUAUCGCCUCGACUAUUUCUGAAGAGGUUGCCACAGUGGGCUCGUCCAUCCUCACUAGUUCUAACCCCCUCCCCAAACCAGAACUCCCCUCAGAAGCCAUUUUUCAGAAGUUAAAAAUCCAAAAAGGUACUGAAACUUACGAGUUUGGAGGUUUUCCUAGCCGAAAAUAGUGUAAGGUUACCGGAUGUUGGUAUUUCUCGUUGGAAGUUCAAGUUUCUCGCCGGAAUUGCUUAGAAAAUGCCAAAAAUUGCAAAUGGCUUGAGAGCAAAGUGUAUUAUCUGUUUUUGCAAGUGUAGAAAGCUUAAGAAAAGCUCAGAGUCCGCCUUUUAUAGAAAGACCCAUCCGAUCUCCACCGUUGAAUUCAAAUGCGAUCGAUCUAAGCCGUUCGUCGCACCUUCAAUCUAGACCGUUGAAAUGAAACGCCAAAUUUGAUCUACGCCCAAGAUGUCGCUGUGACCUUCGCGCUCGCUUAAAACGCGUCACCUCUGUCACCACCAGCCAUCAAUAAUAAGUAGCCACAAUAGCUGUAAUACUCCGAAAUUUUAUGCUGAUUUAAAUUUCUUUAAGAUGGCGAUUUAACUUUCAAUACUAUUUUUGGCCAUAAGAAAAGGGGACACCACUUUUUGCAGUGGUUAAUGUUAGAGAUAGCUAAUGACUACAAGCAUAAGGUGUUAAAUGUUGCGUAUACAUGAAGUGAUUAUUAGUUAGUCGAAACUUAAGUCAAGUUUGAAAUUGAAUGUGGUCGAUUAUUUUGUUAGGACUUCAAUUGACCAAAUGAUUAAAUUAAUUUACGAUCUACAAUUUUUGGAUAUGUAAGUUGGAUAUAAGUUUAGAUUUGGGAUAUAUUUGCUAAUAAUGAAAGAUAGAGGGUUGGAUAUAUUAGUUGGAAGAUUAGAGAUUUCCUUUGCAAAUAUAGGUUUUUAGGCUACUAAUUACUUAUAAUCAACCCCACUUGUUAUCCAUCACCACCAUACAUUUGGAUCAUAGACCAAACAUGUGUAAAGGUAGAAAAAAAAAAAAAAAAAAAAAAAAAGAGAAAAGGGGGGUCAAAGUCGGCCACAACAAUUAAUAAAAAAUAAAAAAAUAUCUUUUUAUACUUAUCCUCUUAUACAAGUAUAAAUACAUCCCUAUCCAUGCCAUAGAGAAAGAGAUUUCUUUCAUUUCUACAAAACACUUAUACAUUUGAAAAGAGAGCCAAAAACCGAAAUUUAAGGAAGGAAGAAAAAGAAGUGAGCUUAACACUUUCAACUUANNNNNNNNNNNNNNNNNNNNNNNNNNNNNNNNNNNNNNNNNNNNNNNNNNNNNNNNNNNNNNNNNNNNNNNNNNNNNNNNNNNNNNNNNNNNNNNNNNNNNNNNNNNNNNNNNNNNNNNNNNNNNNNNNNNNNNNNNNNNNGGCUUACGCGAUGAUGGAUUAAGGACAACGAAGUUUUGUACCGAAAGUUUUCUUUUGUGUGUUUUGUUCGAUGGCAGUUUUUACAUCUAUUUUUCUUAUGGUCUUAUGUAAAAAUAUGAACAUGGAAUGAUGUAUUAUGGUAGUACUAUUAAAUUUUGUAAUUAUAUCUUUCAUGUUAUGUUAAGAGACGUUUUUAUAGUUUAUUUUCCUUACAAGUGAUAAAAGGCAGAAACGGGACAGUUUCUGGAGUCAAUUUCAAAAUGAUGUUUCUAACUCUAUAAACGUCCAUUUGAAAUUCUAAAAAUAUCUAUGUUUUCCCCUUUGAGUUUUCUAAGUAUUGCCGCAAGAAAUACUCAAUUUGGAUAUCUGUGGACUGAGUUAUUAAGGUUUUGACGUCCAAAGGUCAAUCUGGAUUUUCUGUGAAAUACUUCACUGUUUUCAGUAAAACGUCUAUAUCAUAUGAUCUUGGAAAAUUUUCAUAUUUUAACCUAGAAAACUACUUGAAAUUAUCUUUCUAAUGCCACAAAUUUCAUAUGAAACGGAGUUGGGAUGAAUUUUAUAAAAUCUUCCGAAGUUUGCUGCCUCAACUAAAUUUGACAGUGCCGAGGCCGUAUUUACAAUGUUUAAAUUUCAUGUUGGCAUGCACUUUUAUCGGCCAUAAAGUUUUAUAAAAAUAGGUUUUUAACAUGCAGUAUUCCUAUUUAAGAAUAUUUACACGUACCAAAGGCAAAAGUUUUUAUGUAAAGUACGUGGCCCUCGAAGCUUAGGUUCGGGGCGUCACAGUUGUGGUAUCAGAGCAAGGUUUACUUUUCUGUAGAAUUUUUUUUAAAAGAAAGUUACUGUCCUUAAUCAUCGAAGAAGCUAGCAACUGACUUCCAACCAACGAUCAAGGUAAAAUUUAUUUUUAAAUUCAUGAGUUCUCUUAUGUAACGAAUUGUUAUAUCUAUGGCUGGAUAUGGGAAUAUUUUAAUCAAGUCAUGAUUGAUAUUGUGAAGUCAUGAACACUUAUACCAAGGCAUUUAUGAGAACCUUGUAGAGUAAUAUAAUCCAUGUUUGUCCUAGUAUGGCACGACUGAUAAGAACCCCCACGAGGACAGAAGCUUGUGGUUUUGCAGAGAAGCAGGACAUAUUAUUGAUAUUUUACUAUAAUUAUCGUAUGCAUCCGCUUCAUAGCCUCAAACAACAUUUGGAUCUGCUAGAUUGUAUUAUUGAGAUGUUAUGGGAAAUACACCAUAGCCUAAGCAAUAAGGUGAAGAUACUGAGGCUAUAUGAAACUGUUCUAGAACCUUGGGCCACAGUCAUAAAAGAGAUCGUGUCAUGGUCUGAUGAUGACCUUUCAUAUGAGGAUCUUACCUAUUUGCUUCGAGAAAGUUAUGGGACUAGCCGUGAUUUACAGCGAAACUUUAAGAAGACUAUAAACUUAUCCAUGAAUACUAGUUUACGAGCUACCAAAUCUAGGCUAGUUAAGGGACCGUUGGCUAAGUGCUUUUCGAGAGUUCUAGAGGAAAGUUUUCCCGUACCAUUACCAGAUAGAUCGGAGCAAAGCUUGUUAGAGGAAGACCAAGAGGAAGACCCCGAUGAGGAUCCAGAAGAAAUAGAAGAAUAGAUAUCAUCUUACCUAGCUAUCUUCGUUUUUGGAAUAGAAUAGGAUGUAAUAUGUACCUCUGCUUGUGAAUGUAUGUACCCUACCUUAGCAUGGUUUUUGUUUGUGAAAAAUAAUAAUGUAUAUAUAUGAAGGAAAGAUACUUGUCGCUAACCAAAUAGCUAGAGAUCUUAGGAUGGAAAUUGAUGGUAGAGGUAUAGCGGUAGAUCUAAUUCCAUUAACUAUAAAAGACUUUGAUGUUAUUCUUGGUAUGGACUGGUUGUCUAAAAACUAUGUAACUAUUUAUCGUACUGAGAGAAUGGUGGUUUUUUGAAGACCGGGCGAAGGAGAGUUCCAUUUUUGUGGGAACUGAGGUAAAUACCUCGUCUGGUGUAGUGUCAACAACCCAGGUUGAAAGGAUGUCGAGAAAGGAAUUAGAUCAAAGAUUUCUAGUGUCGAUGACCGAUGUUAAACAAGAUAAGUUGUCAAUUGAGGAUGUUCCAAUAGUUCGACACUAUAAAGACGUUUUUCCAGAAGAUCUUCUAGGUGUACCACCAGACAGACAAGUAGAGUUUACCAUUGAUUUGGUACCAGGAGCAACACCCAUUUCAAAGGCUCCAUAUCGUAUGGCUCCGUUGGAAUUACAAGAGCUAAAGGUACAGUUGAAGGAGCUUCUUGAUAAGGGUUUCAUUAGACCAAGUGUAUCACCGUGGGGUGGACCUGUGUUAUUUGUGAAAAAGAAGGAUGGAACAAUGAGGCUGUGUAUUGACUAUCGAGAAUUGAAUCGCCUCACUAUUAAAAACAAAUACCCACUCCCAAGAAUAGAAGAUUUGUUUGACCAUCUUAAGGGGGCUACAGUAUUUUCAAAGAUCCUCAUGAUGGUCUUAGAAACUCUAAGAAAAGAGAAGAUUUAUGCUAAAUUUCAGAAAUGUGAAUUCUGGUUGGAUAAGAUAGUUUUUCUAGGGUACGUAAUCACAGCACGAGGAAUUGAGGUAGACCCAGCUAAAGUGGAAGCAGUGAAUAAUUGGGUAAGACCAACCAAUGUUAGAGAAAUACGUAGUUUCUUGGGAUUGGCUGGUUACUAUAGAAGAUUUAUCGAGGGAUUUUCUAAAAUAGCAGGACCAUUGACCCAAUUGACUCGAAAAGGGGUAAAAUUUCAAUGGACGGAGCAAUGUGAGCAAAGUUUCCAAGAGCUGAAACGAAGAUUAGUCACAGCCCCAGUGUUAACAAUACCUGACGGACCAGAGGGAUUCGUCAUAUAUAGUGAUGCCUCGAAACAGGGCAUAGGAUGUGUUUUGAUACAAAAAGGAAAAGUGAUAGCCUAUGCUUCCAGACAAUUGAAACAAUAUGAACAAAACUACCCAACCCAUGAUCUAGAAUUGGCUGCGGUAGUUCAUGCCCUCAAAAUAUGGCGUCAUUACUUGUACGGAAACAAGUGUGACAUUUAUACUGAUCAUAAGAGUUUGAAGUAUUUUUUCACCUAAAAAGAAUUAAAUAUGAGACAGAGGAGAUGGCUAGAGCUAGUAAAGGAUUAUGAUUGCACUAUCCAUUACCAUUCUGGUAAAGCUAAUGUAGUAGCUGAUGCUCUUAGCAGAAAGGCAGUGGGACAAUUAGCAGUACAAAUCACUAUGCAGGACCAGUUGUUAAAGGAUUUCGACAACUUACAUCUAGAAGUAAUUGUUCCACCAACCCAAACUAGUGCCAGGAUAGCGGCUCUAACGAUUCGACCAACACUUAGAGAUCGAAUAAGAGCAGCCCAGGAUGGUGACCCUUUCCUACAAAAGAUCAAAUCCAAAGUUGGUACUAACAAGCGAAAGGAUUUUGAAUUAAGUAGUGAUAAAGCCAUACUCUUUAAGGGGAGGUUGUGUGUGCCGAAAGAUGAGGGAUUGAGGAAAGAAAUUCUUGAAGAAGCACACUUAACCCCAUAUACUGCCCAUCCAGGAGGUACAAAAAUGUAUCGUGAUCUAAGGAGCAUGUUUUGGUGGAGAAAUAUGAAACGAUGCAAAGGUCUUUUUGUCAAGAGAUGCAUGACUUGUCAGCAAGUGAAAGCUGAACAUCAAAGGCCAUCUGAAUUGCUGGAACCAUUAAUAAUUCCACAAUGGAAAUGGGAACAUAUAACUAUGGAUUUUGUUAUGGGUUUUCCAAAAUCAGCUAAGGGAAAUGAUGCUAUGUGGGUUAUAGUGGAUCGGUUAACAAAAUCAGCUCAUUUUCUACCUGUAAGAAUGAAUUUUAGUAUGGAUCAAUACGCACGAUUAUACAUCAAGGAGGNNNNNNNNNNNNNNNNNNNNNNNNNNNNNNNNNNNNNNNNNNNNNNNNNNNNNNNNNNNNNNNNNNNNNNNNNNNNNNNNNNNNNNNNNNNNNNNNNNNNNNNNNNNNNNNNNNNNNNNNNNNNNNNNNNNNNNNNNNNNNNNNNNNNNNNNNNNNNNNNNNNNNNNNNNNNNNNNNNNNNNNNNNNNNNNNNNNNNNNNNNNNNNNNNNNNNNNNNNNNNNNNNNNNNNNNNNNNNNNNNNNNNNNNNNNNNNNNNNNNNNNNNNNNNNNNNNNNNNNNNNNNNNNNNNNNNNNNNNNNNNNNNNNNNNNNNNNNNNNNNNNNNNNNNNNNNNNNNNNNNNNNNNNNNNNNNNNNNNNNNNNNNNNNNNNNNNNNNNNNNNNNNNNNNNNNNNNNNNNNNNNNNNNNNNNNNNNNNNNNNNNNNNNNNNNNNNNNNNNNNNNNNNNNNNNNNNNNNNNNNNNNNNNNNNNNNNNNGACCGACAAAAGAGUUAUGCCGAUAAAAGGAGAAAAGAUUUGACAUUUAAUGUUGGCGGCAAAGUUUUCAUAAAGGUGGCGCCGAUGAAGGGAGUUCUGCGUUUUGGGAAGAAAGGAAAACUUCAACCAAGAUUCAUUGGUCCUUUUGAAAUUUUGCAGAAAGUUGGGAAUGCAGCUUAUCGAAUCGCUCUGCCACCAGAUUUGUCAGCGGUUCAUAAUGUGUUCCAUGUAUCCAUGCUUCGACAAUAUGUAUCAGACCCAAGUCACGUGGUUAAUUAUCAACCAUUGGAUAUCAAAUCAAACAUGACAUAUGAGGAAAAACCAGUAUCGAUAUUGGAUCGCAGAAUUCAGCAAUUAAGAACAAAGGAAAUUCCGUUAGUAAGAGUCCAAUGGAGGAAUCAUAAUGUCGAAGAAUCGACUUGGGAGAGAGAAGAAGAAAUCAAGUUCAAGUAUCCAGAACUAUUCAACUAAGUUCAAGGUAAUUUCGAGGACGAAAUUUUUUUUAAGGGGGAAGGAAUGUAAUACUCCGAAAUUUUAUGCUGAUUUAAAUUUCUUUAAGAUGGCGAUUUAACUUUCAAUACUAUUUUUGGCCAUAAGAAAAGGGGACACCACUUUUUGCAGUGGUUAAUGUUAGAGAUAGCUAAUGACUACAAGCAUGAGGUGUUAAAUGUUGCGUAUACAUGAAGUGAUUAUUAGUUAGUCGAAACUUAAGUCAAGUUUGAAAUUGAAUGUGGUCGAUUAUUUUGUUAGGACUUCAAUUGACCAAAUGAUUAAAUUAAUUUACGAUUUACAAUUUUUGGAUAUGUAAGUUGGAUAUAAGUUUAGAUUUGGGAUACAUUUGCUAAUAAUGAAAGAUAGAGGGUUGGAUUAUAUUAGUUGGAAGAUUAGAGAUUUCCUUUGCAAAUAUAGGUUUUUAGGCUACUAAUUACCUAUAAUUAGCCCCACUUGUUAUCCAUCACCACCAUACAUUUGGAUCAUGGAUUAAACAAGUGUAAAGUUAUAAAAAAAAGAAAAAGAAAAGGGGGGGUCAAAGUCGGCCAAACCAAGUAAUAAAAAAUAAAAAUAUCAAGUUUUAUCCUUAUCUUUAUAUGAGUAUAAAUACAUCCAUAUCCAUUGCCAUAGAAAUUUUAGCACUUUCAAUUCAUUUCAAACAAAGAUCAUCAAGUUUUACGGUAAGAUACUUUCAUGCUUAAGAGUUAUGAUUUUCAUGGUAAUAUUUAUGCUUAAGUUAUGCAUGAAAAACCAUAAUAUGAUUAUGGUGGACAAGUUCACAAAGUUAGAUAUCUAUUUAUGCCUUAGGACAAGUCCGAAGGGCACCGGCAAGCCGGAAUAUGCAAGUAUGGGUUUGAUUGUAUUCUUUUGUUUUUAUGCUAAACUUUUCAGAUCCAUGAUCAUUUGAAUUGAUGGAAGUUAGUUGGCUUACGCGAUGAUGGAUUAAGGACAACGAAGUUUUGUACCGGAAGUUUUCUUUUGUGUGUUUUGUUCGAUGGCAGUUUUUACAUCUAUUUUUCUUAUGGUCUUAUGUAAAAAUAUGAACAUGGAAUGAUUUAUUAUGGUAUUACUAUUAAAUUUUGUAAUUAUAUCUUUCAUGUUGUGAUAAGAGACAUUUUUGUGGUUUAUUUUCCUUACAAGAGACAAAAGGCAGAAACGGGACAGUUUCUGGAGUCAAUUUCAAAAUGAUGUUUCUAACUCUAUAAACGUCCAUUUGAAAUUCUAAAAAUAUCUAUGUUUUCCCCUUUGAGUUUUCUAAGUAUUGCCGCAAGAAAUACUCAAUUUGGAUAUCUGUGGACUGAGUUAUUAAGGUUUUGACGUCCAAAGGUCAAUCUGGAUUUUCUGUGAAAUACUUCACUGUUUUCAGUAAAACGUCUAUAUCAUAUGAUCUUGGAAAACUUUCAUAUUUUAAUCUAGAAAACUACUUGAAAUUAUCUUUCUAAUGCCACAAAUUUCAUAUGAAACGGAGUUGGGAUGAAUUUUAUAAAAUCUUCCGAAGUUUGCUGCCUCAACUAAAUUUGACAGUGCCGAGGCCGUAUUUACAAUGUUUAAAUUUCAUGUUGGCAUGCACUUUUAUCGGCCAUAAAGUUUUAUAAAAAUAGGUUUUUAACAUGCAGUAUUCCUAUUUAAGAAUAUUUACAUGUACCAAAGGCAAAAGUUUUUAUGUAAAGUACGUGGCCCUCGAAGCUUAGGUUCGGGGCAUCACAAUAGCCUUUUAGGAGAAUGGGCAUGGCACCCAACUAUCACCUUGAAAAUACGCAACAAUUGUCAAAUCAUUUAACGUUUGAAUCACCUCGAAUCGAGCCCCUCGCUCAACUUUACAAAGCUUAGACGCACCUGAUGCGAAAUUUCCUAUGGGUCAUCGCCUCGGACGCUGCGUUCCCUCCUAAGCUUUACAAAGUUUUAGCCAUCUUCCAACGCUUCGGCCCUGUGGGUCAGCGCACCGGUGGUAGAUGAGCUCCUCACUCAACUUUACAAAGCUUAGACGUACCUGACGCGAAGUCCCUUGUGGGUCAUCGCCUCGGACUCUGUGUUCCCUCUCAAGCUUUACAAAGUUUUAGCAAUCUCCUAACGCGUCGUCCCCUAUGGGUCAGCAUACUGCGGCAGAUGAGCUCCUCACUCUAUUUUACAAAGCUUAGGCACGUCUGACGCGAGUCCCCUGUGGGUCAUAGCCUCGGUCGUCGCAUUGACCUUAUUUCCUACUAAUCGUCCAGUCUUGCAGCGCUUUGACCUCACAUCAGUUAUUGUUUCCCUUACACAGUAACGAAGCUUUGGCACAUCUGCCUAAGAUCAUGGCUUCGGUUACUGCAGAAGAUCGACCCACAAGCUUCCAUGAGUUGCGGUCCCCAGUACCGAGGCAUCCACAUCCGGUCAGGAAAGUAAGUCCACCCAUGAUAUAAAUAUUCAUACCUGGACUUGGGGGACCACUAUUAUGCCCCUAUCUAAACCGCCUCGGAAUGCCCACCACCACACAUUCCGACCUGAUAUACACCCAUCCAAAGUGUUUCCGAAGUGAUCCCACCAAUGUCAACGACCUGAUAGCACACUGAGAGACAUAAACGAUCUUACUGAACUGACCGAAGUGCCCUCGCCCCUGAUGCCGAGGCGAAGUGCACCUCUGUCAGAAGAUCCGCCGCCAAUUUUAGAAAAAGAUUUUUGCCAAGAUCCUCUGUGCAUCUAAGGUUUAAAUUGAUUUAAUGUCUCCAUGAGGCUAGUUGAUGUGACUUAUCAACUUUAUGUCAACUCAACUCGGGAGAAACAAACUGCCCUCCCACUGUACAAACGUGGCUGAUUGACGCCUAUGAACUGACGCCUCAUAUUGUCAAAUGCUUACACAUGUCCCACAUCCAACAGUUCAUCCUACCUAUAAAUACCCAAGGUUUGGCAAGAGGCAAAGGUAAUGAAACUCUCACUACAGAGCACUCCAUAGCAAGUUUAUAUAUUUUCUCCUCCCCCUUAUUAUUAUUUUGCACAAUCUCUGGGUACUGUUCCGACCACCUAAACCUGACUUGACCGUCAGAGUGUAUACGGUCGCCACCACCCCCCGCUGGUCUCCGUGUGCGUCUGACUGUGCGUUGAUUGUGCACAGGGAGGUAUACGUGGAGUAGCUAUCGGUUGGCCACGUGGAAGGUCCAAUUUUCGAGGUCAACACAUAUUAUCGUUUCAUUAGCACGCUCGAACAUAAUUCUUUAAUUUUGGGUUUUUGCGUUUGUUUAACAUUAGUGAAGAACCUUCAUCGACAAAACAAAUUGAAAUUUGUAGUAUUAUGAAACUAAAGAACUAUUAAUGGUCUUUUUUCAUUUUAAUAGUUUGAAUUUUACUAAUGUUGUCCUUGUUUUUCUGCUUUAAUUCUUUUUCGCCGGGCCUAUCUUUACUAGCGUGAUAUUCAAUUAGGAGCUUCCAAUAAGAAAAUCUAUACAUCAAAUUAUCCUGUGGCAGACUGCUCUUUUUUUAUUUUUUUAUUUUAAGACCCCCGUUUGAACGUCAAUGAAGUUUUUCACAUUACUAUUAAAAAAAUAUUGACAAAUCAGUAGAGAACCCUAACAUAUGGUAUAGUAGAGAUUAUGCGAUAAUAACUUUGAUUAAUAAAUGUAUAAGAUAGUUGCUCAGUUAUUUAUUCACCAAACAUGUAAUUAAUUCUUAUAUUAUUUAAUUUGCUUUCUUAUAACAGAAGUUAUCUAUUUUACGAUUACAAUUUUAGUUUUCAUUUGUUUUUGAGAAGAGUAAUAUUUUAGCACAGUCAAGCAAUGAAAUUUUUAAUAUUUCUUUGAACUUGUCAAAUUUUUUGACCACCUAGACCAUCUAGAAUUACUUCGAUAGGGAUUUUGGCAACAAAACUCGUAUCCACUUUAUAAGUUUUGAAUUAGUAUGACGUCUUUUGUUUUGUUCUCGUCACUAUGAUCAAAACUGCUAGACCUUCUAGGAGUAGCUUUUUUUUUUUAAUGGUUUUUGCAUAGAAUUAUGCAUUAUUAUAACAAGUCUACAAUUCCAUUAUAUUUGUAUUGCCUUUUAAAUUCGCUUCCUAUUCAAAUUGAGCAUUUUCCAUUACCAACUAUAGUUAAUCAUUCAAUUGUUUCCCAAUGGAGCAUUCUUUAUUUAUUUAUUUAUUUUUUUUACCUAUGAUGACUAUUUUAAUUUGAAUAUAUAUAUAUAUUUUUUUUAUCUCCACAUUUUUAAUUUUCCAAUUAAAUGCAUAGAUGUGUAAUUUUUUUAGAAUUGAAAAUUCCAUUAAAUUUUAUUUACAGUUCUCACAUUUUUCUUUAUUUUCAGGUUGUCUACUUAAAUUGUACCAACAUAGAAUUGUUUGUCAACUGCUUUCAGGCCAGCUUCUAAUGCUGUAAAUUUACUGGUAAAUAUGAUUUUUUGCUGUUUGAAAUGUUAAUGUGCAAUAAAUUUUUUUUAUUAUUAUUUUUUUGUGUUCCGAACAAUCUUAUUUAUUUUCAACAUUUUCUUUCAUCUAAUUUUCUCUACCAUAUAGUUUGAGAUAUAUAUGAUAGAUUCACUAAUAUAUUUUUCACUUUUUACACUGAUUUGUUUGGAGUCCAAAGAUUCAGCUAUUUUCCCUGUUGCUGUAAUGGAAAUUUCGGAAUCAUUUGUUGAAGUUGACCCUGCUUCUAUUCAUUUUGAAACUAUUUCUGAAACUCAAAAGAACUUGAGUAAUGCUUCCAUACGAUAACAAGAA
rnacentral:lncRNA from 1 species